UACGACUACAUAUCAGGCAUAUCAAUAAGCGGAGGAAAAGAAACUAACAAGGAUUUCCCUUAGUAACGGCGAGUGAAGCGGGAAGAGCUCGAAAUCUGAAAUCUUCAAGGUUCUACCUUGACGAAUUGUAGUUUAAAGAAGUGUUUUCUGUUAGUAGGAGUGGUAAAAGUUCUUUGGAAUAGGACAUCAUAGAGGGUGAGAAUCCCGUAUUUGACCGUUAUCUUUCUCAGCUGUGUGAUACACUUUCAAAGAGUCGGAUUGUUUGGGAAUGCAGUCCAAAAUGGGUGGUAAAUUUCAUCUAAAGCUAAAUAUUGGCGAGAGACCGAUAGCGAACAAGUACCGUGAGGGAAAGAUGAAAAGAACUUUGAAAAGAGAGUUAAACAGUACGUGAAAUUGUCAAAAGGGAAGCGUUUGACACCAGUGUUGUUUAGUUGAAAAUCAAUUCAAUAGUUUUUGAUUCUAAGUAGUAUUGACUUCAUCAGCUUGCUGCUUUCUUCUCAGAAAUUAUUGAAUGCACUUUUCAGUUAACAAGUCAACAUCAAUUUCUUUUGUUGUAAAAGGGUAAGAGGAAGGUGGCUUGCGCUUCGGCUCAAGUGUUUAUAGCCUUUUAUCUCUGCAAUCGGAGAGAUUGAGGUCUGCAGCGUAGAUCCUUCGGGGUUAGAUACAUUGGUGCUAAGCUAUAGCCUUGUAUAGACAACUUGUUGACUAUGCUCAGUCAUGUAGCUUACUCGCUGAUGCUACUUUUACCUACGCUUAGGAUGUUGAUCUACAGAGCGAGAGU
rnacentral:rRNA from 1 species